rnacentral:rRNA from 1 species
UACGAAGGGGGCUAGCGUUGCUCGGAAUCACUGGGCGUAAAGCGCACGUAGGCGGAUUGUUAAGUCAGGGGUGAAAUCCUGGAGCUCAACUCCAGAACUGCCUUUGAUACUGGCGAUCUCGAGUCCGGGAGAGGUGAGUGGAACUGCGAGUGUAGAGGUGAAAUUCGUAGAUAUUCGCAAGAACACCAGUGGCGAAGGCGGCGCGCUGGACCACUACUGACGCUGAGGAACGAAAGCUAGGGGAGCAAACAGG